AAGAAAGGUGUUUGACAUCAUCAUGGCAAUAACGAGACUUCAGGAGGAGAUUGUGGUCACUGAGAUGGGCCACCUUUGGAAAGUUCUCAAAGCCUGUGCUGAUUCCCUGAAAGAGCUGUCCUACCUGCUGCCCAGUGAGACGAUUAAAAACCUGCCUUGGAGCCUGAGCAAGAGGUGUUGAAAGGACUCCAUUGCAUUGUCUUAAGGAAGUUGCAGAUCAUCAGAGAGAUGAAGACGGACACCAGAGCCUGUUACCUGCAAAUUUUGUUUCUGGAGCAGAAAACAUCAACUUCCUUCAGAAUGCUUCAUCUGAGGAUUUUGACAGUGACUUUGAUUCUGAAAUUGAUUAGAAACUGACACCAUACAACAACAGACAGACACAGUGAAGUUUGUCAUUGUUUCUCUCCAUAUUCAUGUUUAUGUGUAUGUAUGUUUGUGAAUAAAUAAAUCUAAAUAUG